GAGAGAGAGCGAGAGAGAGAGGGCGAGAGAGAGAGGGCGAGAGAGAGAGGGCGAGAGAGAGAGAGCGAGAGAGAGAGGGCGAGAGAGAGAGGGCGAGAGAGAGAGAGGGCGAGAGAGAGAGCGAGAGAGAGAGAGCGAGAGAGAAAGAGCGUCUAACAAACCAAAAUUGUUUCUCUGAAAACUCCCAGAACAUUUGUUAGGUUGCGGUAAAUGUUAUCAUAACACAAAAACUGUCCCGUCGUGCUGAUGAUUAUACAAUGUUUGUAUAAACAUUUGCCUGAUGUUGCAAGAACGUUCCCAGAACAUUGCGUAUACAUUUUGUUGCAACAGUAUGUUCAAAAAACAUUGCUGGUACAUUGUGUUAUUACAUUACCAGGAAACAUAACGAGAAUGUUGUUUGGGGAAUGGUGGUUGUUACAGAUGUUGUGCGUUUUUGUGAAUGUUAGGAGAACGUCCUAAUUUUGUAUAAAAACCCUUUCUUAUGUUCUGGGUAUGUUCCCGGUUUGCUGGGCAGUCUGUCCUGUCUCUUCACUGGGGUCAGCCAGUCAAGUCAGGUGAACCAUGAGAGUCCAUACAGCACAGUCCAUACAGCACAGUCCAUACAGCACAGUCCAUACACUACACACUGUAGCAAUAGAAUAGUGUUGACAUUCAAAAGAGUGUCACUGAUCCUUAUCAAAUCUUUCAGAUUUUGUAGAAUCUAAGAAGAAGCCUGCUCCCUCUUCUCUCCUCUGACUUUCAUUUCCCUCGGCUUUGACUGCGAUGGAAAUAUCCCUUGCUGCUGUGUCGGCUCCACGGACAGCAUAACUCACAAGAACUGCCAAAAUAAUGCCUAUAGGAAUUCCAGUACAUGCGCCAAGUGUUCCAUGUUCUGCACCUGCAACUGCUCCCAUGAGUGCCCCCACUACAGCAGUCAUAAUCACUAUUAGUGGUUUGACGUAGUGGCCCACCACAGACAAGGCCUCUUCCCUGUAUCCUUGCUUGACGGCCUGUAGGUCCACCUUCUGAUGGUCAGCCAUUACCGACCCGUCCUCUUCUCUGUGCUUACUUCAAAGAAUAAACACACACACAGAGACAGUUCAUGAAUCAGAUCACCGUUACAGAUGUAGG
ensembl:lncRNA